AUGUUGAACUCUAGCUUGUUUGGAAUGAAAGAUUGGGAUGAGGCAAAUAUGGCUGGCAGCGACGGUGACAAUUUUGUACCACAAAUUAAGGAACCUGCAGGACAAAAGAAGAAGAAGCCACCGAAGAAGGCAAGUGCACCGGUGAAAGAUGAAGAGGAAGAAGUGGCUGAUCCGAAAGACUGCUUGGCUGCUUAUAAUCUUGGGGAUUCCUCUCCAGAACAUAGUGCCAGGGAAAUAGGAAAACAACGAAAAGGAAAGAAAGGGAGGAACGGACCAAACAAAAAAGGCGCAACAAAGAAGGGCAUGUCAUCCUUAGCUAAGAUUUCCAAUGAAGAGAUAGCAGAGCCACAUCAUGAGAGCGAGGAUGGGGGUCUUCCAUGCAAGUUAAGAAAAAAACUAAAGGAAGAAAGCCUGUUGCCGAAAAGCCGAAGACGACUGCCAUCAAAAAGAGGGCACCAGCUCAAAGCAAAGGCAUAA
rnacentral:rRNA from 1 species